rnacentral:rRNA from 1 species
CAAAAGAGCAAAACACUUUGGACAUCCCUUCAGAAGCUCUCUUGCCUGCUCUCUCUUUGCAUGGUUGCAAGCUAUAGGAGAAGCGACCUUAAGUGGUUGCGUUCUGUUUCCUCCCCACCUCCUCUCCUGAGGACUCUGAAUUUGUCGGGAGAACUCGGGGAGUUGCCUGACUGGUUUGGGGGUCUAGUGCACUUGGUGAAGAUUUACUUGAAGUCGAGCAGUCUGACCGAUGGAGAUAAAAGCAUGGAGAUACUAGGCGCACUGCCCAAGCUCAUGCUCCUUCGCCUUGAUUGGGGGUCUUAUGUUGGGGAGAGACUAAUGUUCAAAGCGAGAACAUUCCCAAAGCUGAGGAAAUUGGUUAUUAUUGCUGGCCUGGGGGAACUUAGAGAGUUGAAGUUCGAGGCGGGCACCUCACCCAAGUUGGAAAAGAUAAAAAUCAGUGCCUGCUUGUUGAAAUCCGGGAUUACUGGUAUCGAACACCUUCCAUGUCUCAAGGAGAUUUCACUUGGUUGGGAAGGUAGAGUGGCGAGGCUUGGUGCCCUGCAAGUUGAGCUGGACGCGCACCCCAACCGUCCUGCUCCUGCCCUGCGACUGUUCUGGGACCGAAGCGAGCAC